rnacentral:lncRNA from 1 species
UUUAAAAUCAAUUAUCGGAUGUUAUUGUAUACAUACAGUGAUUUGAAUAUUUAGGUAUAUGAUGAGAACAUCACAAUAUUUACUUCUAAAAAAAGCUAAUAUGUGUACUAAUAUAGUGUACAAUUCAGUAUCUUUAAAUAUCAUUCUGCCAGAAAAGAACAAAAAAAAAACCAAACAAUUAAUUAUUCCAAUAAACUCUGUAUACAUGUAUGCAGUAUGCAUAUCAUGAAAUGAAACCUUAACAUCAAACCUCACAACCAAAUGAAAAUCUUGCAAAAAAAUUGAGAAGCAAAUAUAUAUAUAUAAGCAACUAUUGAAAUAAAUUAAAAUCCAUCAUUAUAUAUAUAUUUAUAAAUUCCACACAUAUAUAUAGAAAAAUGAUGGAUACCUGAAGGUGGAGGUCGAUGAAUGUGAGGAGCUAUAACAUUAUGAUCACGUUCAACACCAUUAUUUUUUGGGCCGUGAAUAUGUUCUUGAUGAGAGCCUUUUCUAAAAUUACGAGUUGCCAAAACGCACAGCCUAGUUUUAUCAAUGCAAUUGCCCAUUAAUUAAUAUAUAAAUAUGAGGCCAAACGCCUCUCGACGAGAACAAAAUUAUUUAUUGAUCAAUUUGUGAUCAUAAUUUUGUCGUCGUGAUUUCUACCAUUUCGUCUCCUCCUUCUCUUUGAUCUGUGUAAUUUGAGAGAUAGAAUGGGUAUCAGACCAAGCUAGGAGAAGGAGCAUGAUAGAGAACGAAUUUUGUGCAGGCCACAAAAUUCGUCUUACUAAUUCACAUGCUUUUUCAU